AAUCAACGCUGGCGGCGUGCCUAACACAUGCAAGUCGAACGAGAAAGUGGAGCAAUCCAUGAGUAAAGUGGCGCACGGGUGAGUAACACGUGACUAACCUACCCUGGAGUGGGGGAUAACUGAGGGAAACCUUAGCUAAUACCGCAUAAUACCUACGGGUCAAAGGAGCAAUUCGCUUCAGGAGGGGGUCGCGGCCGAUUAGUUAGUUGGCAGGGUAAUGGCCUACCAAGACGAUGAUCGGUAUCCGGCCUGAGAGGGCGCACGGACACACUGGAACUGAAACACGGUCCAGACUCCUACGGGAGGCAGCAGUGGGGAAUUUUGCGCAAUGGGGGAAACCCUGACGCAGCAACGCCGCGUGGAGGAUGAAGUCCUUCGGGACGUAAACUCCUUUCGAUCGGGACGAUUAUGACGGUACCGGAAAAAGAAGC
rnacentral:rRNA from 1 species